rnacentral:rRNA from 3 species
GAACGCUGGCGGCGUGCUUAACACAUGCAAGUCGAACGUGAAGGCUUCCUUCGGCAUAGUCGAGUGGCGAACGGGUGAGUAACACGUGGGUGAUCUGCCCUGCACUUCGGGAUAAGCUUGGGAAACUGGGUCUAAUACCGGAUAGACGCUGCUACCCGCAUGCCUUUUGGUGGAAAGCUUUUGCGGUGUGGGAUGGGCCCGCGGCCUAUCAGCUUGUUGGUGAGGUAACGGCCUACCAAGGCGACGACGGGUAGCCGGCCUGAGAGGGUGUCCGGCCACACUGGGACUGAGAUACGGCCCAGACUCCUACCGGGAGCAGCAGUGGGGAAUAUUGCACAAUGGGCGCAAGCCUGAUGCAGCGACGCCGCGUGGGGGAUGACGGCCUUCGGGUGGUAAACCUCUUUCACCAUCGACGAAGGUCCUGGUCUUCUCCGAUUGACGGUAGGUGGAGAAGAAGCACCGGCCAACUACGUGCCAGCAGCCGCGGUAAUACGUAGGGUGCGAGCGUUGUCCGGAAUUACUGGGCGUAAAGAGCUCGUAGGUGGUUUGUCGCGUUGUUCGUGAAAUCUCACGGCUUAACUGUGAGCGUGCGGGCGAUACGGGCAGACUAGAGUACUGCAGGGGAGACUGGAAUUCCUGGUGUAGCGGUGGAAUGCGCAGAUAUCAGGAGGAACACCGGUGGCGAAGGCGGGUCUCUGGGCAGUAACUGACGCUGAGGAGCGAAAGCGUGGGGAGCGAACAGGAUUAGAUACCCUGGUAGUCCACGCCGUAAACGGUGGGUACUAGGUGUGGGUUUCCUUCCUUGGGAUCCGUGCCAUAGCUAACGCAUUAAGUACCCCGCCUGAGGAGUACGGCCGCAAGGCUAAAACUCAAAGGAAUUGACGGGGGCCCGCACCAGCGGCGGAGCAUGUGGAUUAAUUCGAUGCAACGCGAAGAACCUUACCUGGGUUUGACAUGCACAGGACGCGUCUAGAGAUAGGCGUUCCCUUGUGGCCUGUGUGCAGGUGGUGCAUGGCUGUCGUCAGCUCGUGUCGUGAGAUGUUGGGUUAAGUCCCGCAACGAGCGCAACCCUUGUUUCAUGUUGCCAGCGGGUAAUGCCGGGGACUCGUGAGAGACUGCCGGGGUCAACUCGGAGGAAGGUGGGGAUGACGUCAAGUCAUCAUGCCCCUUAUGUCCAGGGCUUCACACAUGCUACAAUGGCCGGUACAAAGGGCCGCGAUGCCGCGAGGUUAAGCGAAUCCUUUUAAAGCCGGUCUCAGUUCGGAUCGGGGUCUGCAACUCGACCCCGUGAAGUCGGAGUCGCUAGUAAUCGCAGAUCAGCAACGCUGCGGUGAAUACGUUCCCGGGCCUUGUACACCCCGCCCGUCACGUCAUGAAAGUCGGUAACACCCGAAGCCAGUGGCCUAACCCCUCCGGAGGGAGCUGUCGAAGGUGGGAUCGGCGAUUGGGACGAAGUCGUAACAAGGUAGCCGUACCGG